rnacentral:misc_RNA from 1 species
GAUGAAGAACGUAGCGAAAUGCGAUAAGUAAUGUGAAUUGCAGAAUUCAGUGAAUCAUCGAAUCUUUGAACGCACAUUGCGCCCCCUGGUAUUCCGGGGGGCAUGCCUGUCCGAGCGUCAUUGCCGCCCUCAAGCACGGCUUGUGUGUUGGGCCCCCGCCCCCCGGCUUCGGGGGGCGGGCCCGAAAGGCAGCGGCGGCACCGCGUCCGGUCCUCGAGCGUAUGGGGCUUCGUCACCCGCUCUGUAGGCCCGGCCGGCGCCCGCCGGCGACCCCAAUCAAUCUUUCCAGGUUGACCUCGGAUCAGGUAGGGAUACCCGCUGAACUUAAGCAUAUCAAUAACGGAGGA